CUCCGUGCCAGCAGCCGCGGUAAUACGGAGGGUGCGAGCGUUAAUCGGAAUUACUGGGCGUAAAGCGCAUGCUAGGUGGUUUGUUAAGUCAGAUGUGAAAGCCCCGGGGCUCAACCUCGGAAUUGCAUUUUGAAACUGGCAGACUAGAGUACUGUAGAGGGGGUAGAAUUUCAGGUGUAGCGGUGAAAUGCGUAGAGAUCUGAAGGAAUACCGGUGGCGAAGGCCGGCCCCCUGGACAGAUACUGACACUCAGAUGCGAAAGCGUGGGGAGCCCAAACAGGAUUAGAUACCCCUGGUAG
rnacentral:rRNA from 1 species